UCCCAUCUUGCCAGCUAGAGUUGACGCGGGGGUGAUCAGAGCACUCAGGGUGGCUCUUUCAGCUAGGGAUGUGCUUUCUGGGACCUUUAGGCACUUCUCAACCCAGGUGGGGCCAAGGGUGUGGGCUCCAAACAACCACGGCACGGAAUUCCUGAGAACAUAGCUGGGAGAACACCGGCCUGGGGGAGGCAGAGCCGGGUCUCGUGCACUCCGGAGCCGCUCGGGCAUCUGUGCGGGGCAAUCCACCCGAGAAGGUGGCAACCGUGUACCGGGGCUCAGCCCCGCCGCGUGUCCCCAGCCGCCGCCGCCGCCGCCGCCGCCGAACCCUAGGCCACUUGGCAUAGGCGAAGGCACUCGGGCCGGCGCGCAGAGGAACCCCGAGACUGGCUCCCGCGGCCCAGAGCGCCUCCGUCUACGCGGCCCUCCCCCUCACCGUCCUACCUGAGGAAAGCGGGAGCCGCCCGACACUGGCGUCAGCUCUGGUAAGCCUGGGUCGCCACAGCGUAGCCCGCCCCUGGAGCAGACAGCAGCAGCUAAAGACAGAACGCUGGGCCCGGCCAAUGCCUUCCCAUCAAACCCCGCGCUCCCGCCACCAGCCAAUGGACGCCGCGGCCGGCGCGCGCCGCUCCCCCGUCACGUGAUCCGGCCCGCCCAGCCGUUGGUGCCUCAGAGAGACGCUUUUUUCGGCCUGAGGGAUUCAGGCUGCCUGUCUUCCACGGCCAGUGUAGGAUGCGGGUCCUUAGGUCACAGCAGGUGUCGCCGGGGAAAGAAACUGAUCCUGAUUGUCCCAGACUCUCUGAGCAAGAGGGAAGAAGAGUGGAGAGGACAAAGAGGAGGGCCAUUGACGGUCUAGACUAGGGUGUCUGGAAAACGAGCGAGCUGGUACCUGAAAUCCCAGAUCAGCUGUCAUCCAGGAGGCAGUAAAAAAAGGUUUAACCCUACAUAGCUCAGAAGCGGCCAAUCCCAGCCAGGCUAGUGGAGACAUAGACCCCAUGAGGGCUUGAGACUUUCGUUGCUCAUGGACGUCAAAAAUGGUCCUUUGAUGACUGGGCGUUUACCUCACCAGAGUGAGACGAGCUUCAGACGCAAAGGAUGUCCUUUUCAAAUCUGUGGGUAGCAACAAAGUCUGAGCUUUCCGUCUUUAUACACUCUUAACCUCAAGAACACUCUAUAAAAACUCUGAAUAACUGGGCCUGCAUGAAACCAUCCUGCUGUACUUCCCUAAGAUUUGAAAACUGCCUAAAGAAUGUUAAGUUUCCUAGUCAAAUGCAAUUAUCAAUAAUAAAUGACACUUGGAUGAGGAAGGAAAAAAACUA
rnacentral:lncRNA from 1 species